rnacentral:lncRNA from 1 species
UGGUCAGAUUGGCUAAGCUAUAUUCAGGUCUGAAUAUUCAUUUGUUAGAUAUACUUGAGGUAGUCAUGUUAAUGGUUAGAUCUAAUCAUAAUUUUUAGUGAAGGCGUCACACGCCUGUUGAAGAGAUGCUUGGGAUAAAAUUUAAUUGCUAAAAAUUAUUUAAUAAAAUAAUUAGUUAAGAAUCUACCCACAGAUGCACUAGGGUUGGCCAAGCCACACUCGG